GUCAGGUGAUGAUCAAACUAAAUACUUCCGUUUUUCUGAUGCGCUGUCAUAGCAGGUGUGGAAGCGAUUUGGAGAUCGAAACUGAAACGCU
rfam:Triticum aestivum genome assembly, contig: Triticum_aestivum_CS42_TGACv1_scaffold_393498_5AS